GGAUCAAUUUAUUGGUCGUGCUAUUGUACGUACUGGUAUUAUUGAUUCCUACCUUCUGACGAACCAUGAUGUCAUUAAUUUGGUGUCAUGGGGAAUCAGGACUGUUACUUUGAAAAAAUUAGAGUGCUCCAUACAGGCAUUUGCUUGAAUACAUUAGCAUGGAAUAACGGAAUAGGACUU
rnacentral:rRNA from 1 species